CAAAAAGCUGACCAAUAUGAGUAGCCAUUAUGUGCUCAGAGUGAAGUACAUAACAUUAGUACUUGGAUUUUUCUGUGUUUUGUUUGUUUAUAUAUAUUUUGGGACAUUACUAAUAGUUAUUGCAUUUACAAGAGAAUAUUGAAACCUAUCCAGUUAUGUAAAUGCAUGAAUCUAGUUAUCUUUAGGUUUCACUAAGAGACUGCACAUGAUGUUUCUAAGAAUAUAGCUGAAGAUAUACAAUGAUCAAAGACUAAUCUCUACAUCCUAAAUAGUCAGUAAACAUUUUUUAUGUCCGCAUAAUUGUGUGAAUUAAACAAACAACCAUUAUUUACAACAAAAACAGUUUUGUUUUUGUCUAUUGUAAAUCCUUAUGCAACUGGGAUGGUGAUCU